rnacentral:rRNA from 1 species
AUACGUAGGUGGCAAGCGUUAUCCGGAUUUAUUGGGCGUAAAGCGAGCGCAGGCGGUUUUUUAAGUCUGAUGUGAAAGCCCUCGGCUUAACCGAGGAAGCGCAUCGGAAACUGGGAAACUUGAGUGCAGAAGAGGACAGUGGAACUCCAUGUGUAGCGGUGAAAUGCGUAGAUAUAUGGAAGAACACCAGUGGCGAAGGCGGCUGUCUGGUCUGUAACUGACGCUGAGGCUCGAAAGCAUGGGUAGCGAACAGGAUUAGAUACCCUGGUAGUCCAUGCCGUAAACGAUGAAUGCUAGGUGUUGGAGGGUUUCCGCUCUUCAGUGCCGCAGCUAACGCAUUAAGCAUUCCGCCUGGGGAGUACGACCGCAAGGUUGAA